UAAUACGGGGGGAGCAAGCGUUGUUCGGAUUUACUGGGCGUAAAGGGCGCGUAGGCGGCCUCCGCAAGUCAAUUGUGAAAUCUCCGGGCUUAACUCGGAAAGGUCAACUGAUACUGCGGGGCUAGAGUGCGGAAGGGGCAACUGGAAUUCUCGGUGUAGCGGUGAAAUGCGUAGAUAUCGAGAGGAACACCUGCGGCGAAGGCGGGUUGCUGGGCCGACACUGACGCUGAGGCGCGAAAGCUAGGGGAGCGAACGGGA
rnacentral:rRNA from 1 species